rnacentral:rRNA from 1 species
UACGGGGGGGGCAAGCGUUGUUCGGAAUUACUGGGCGUAAAGGGCGCGUAGGCGGCCUGCUAAGUCGGACGUGAAAUCCCUCGGCUCAACCUCGGGCCUGCAGUCGAUACGGGCAGACUAGAGUCCGGCAGGGGAGACUGGAAUUCCUGGUGUAGCGGUGAAAUGCGCAGAUAUCAGGAGGAACACCGGUGGCGAAGGCGGGUCUCUGGGCCGGAACGGACGCUAAGGAGCGAAAGCGUGGGGAGCGAACAGG